ACCCAGGUGACGAGUCCCAAAUAGGACGAAACACGCGUCCUAAAU
rnacentral:hammerhead_ribozyme from 1 species